rnacentral:rRNA from 1 species
GAUGAACGCUGGCGGCGUGCCUAAUACAUGCAAGUCGAGCGAACAGACGAGGAGCUUGCUCCUUUGACGUUAGCGGCGGACGGGUGAGUAACACGUAGGUAACCUACCUAUAAGACUGGGAUAACUUCGGGAAACCGGAGCUAAUACCGGAUAAUAUUUCGAACCGCAUGGUUCGAUAGUGAAAGAUGGCUUUGCUAUCACUUAUAGAUGGACCUGCGCCGUAUUAGCUAGUUGGUAGGGUAACGGCUUACCAAGGCAACGAUACGUAGCCGACCUGAGAGGGGGAUCGGCCACACUGAAACUGAGACACGGUCCAGACUCCUAGGGAGGGCAGCGGAGGGGAUCCUUCCGCAAUGGGCGAAAGCCUAACGGAGCAACGCCGCGUGAGUGAUGAAGGUCUUCGGAUCGUAAAACUCUGUUAUUAGGGAAAAACAAACGUGUAGGUAACUGUGCACGUCUUGACGUUACCUAAUCAGAAAGCCACGCCUAACUACGU